CCUACGGGAGGCUGCAGUGGGGAAUAUUGGACAAUGGGGGGAACCCUGAUCCAGCCAUGCCGCGUGUGUGAAGAAGGCCCUCGGGUUGUAAAGCACUUUCAGUGAGGAAGAACGCCUGGUGGUUAAUACCCAUCAGGAAAGACAUCACUCACAGAAGAAGCACCGGCUAACUCCGUGCCAGCAGCCGCGGUAAUACGGAGGGUGCGAGCGUUAAUCGGAAUUACUGGGCGUAAAGCGCGCGUAGGUGGCUUGAUAAGCCGGUUGUGAAAGCCCCGGGCUCAACCUGGGAACGGCAUCCGGAACUGUCAAGCUAGAGUGCAGGAGAGGAAGGUAGAAUUCCCGGUGUAGCGGUGAAAUGCGUAGAGAUCGGGAGGAAUACCAGUGGCGAAGGCGGCCUUCUGGACUGACACUGACACUGAGGUGCGAAAGCGUGGGUAACAAACAGGAUUAGAUACCCUGGUAGUC
rnacentral:rRNA from 1 species